GACAGAGGCCCCAAGCGUUAGUCGGAAUUACUGGGCUUAAAGGGUGCGUAGGCGGGCGUGUAAGUGUUCUGUGAAAUCCCCGGGCUUAACCUGGGAACUGCAUUGGUGACUGGCAGGCUUUGAGUGUGGCAGAGGGAGGUAGAAUUCCACGUGUAGCAGUGAAAUGCGUAGAGAUGUGGAGGAAUACCGAUGGCGAAGGCAGCCUCCUGGGCCAACACUGACGCUCAUGCACGAAAGCGUGGGGAGCAAACAGG
rnacentral:rRNA from 1 species